rnacentral:piRNA from 1 species
UGAGAACCACCAAAUGGUAUACAUGGCUGA